UACAGAGGAGCCAAGCGUUGUCCGGAUUGACUGGGCGUAAAGCGCACGCAGGCGGAUGCGCGCGUGGGGUGUGAAAUCUGGCCACUUAACGGCCAGGCGCCAUCCCAUACGGCGCGUCUGGAGUGAUGCAGAGGUCGAUGGAAUUGCCGGUGUAGUGGUGAAAUGCGUAGAGAUCGGCAGGAACACCCAGGGGGAAACCAGUCGACUGGGCAUCUACUGACGCUGAGGUGCGAGAGCGUGGGGAGCGAACCGG
rnacentral:rRNA from 1 species